rnacentral:rRNA from 1 species
AACGAACGCUGACGGCGUGCUUAACACAUGCAAGUCGCACGAGAAUUUCCGCCUUCGGGUGGAAUAGUAAAGUGGCGCACGGGUGAGUAACACGUGGGAAACCUGCCUUUGAGUGGGGGAUAACAGCCCUAACGGGCUGCUAAUACCGCAUGACGCUGUUGAUCGCAUGGUCGACAGUUGAAGAUGGCCUCUACUUGUAAGCUGUCGCUCAGAGAUGGUCCCGCGUCCUAUUAGCUAGUUGGUGGGGUAACGGCCUACCAAGGCUACGAUGGGUAGCCGGCCUGAGAGGGUGGUCGGCCACACUGGGACUGAGAUACGGCCCAGACUCCUACGGGAGGCUG